rnacentral:lncRNA from 1 species
UGCUGGAGGAAUUGAAUAGAGGGCUUUGCUACCUCACCUCUCUCUUCCUGCUUCAUCCACCAGCACUUCAAACCAGGAUGGGAAGUGUCACAGGACAUGCUACCUCACGCUUUGGCUGGAAUGGAUGGAGUAACAUUGGCUUCUGCAGUCCCCAACAUAAGCCAAGCAUCACAGCAUCCAGGGGAGACUUCGUUUCCUUCAGUCAAGCUGCCCCGAUGGCAGAAGAAAGACAGCCAACACAAACGUACCAAUUCCAGAAGGAAGCACUCACAGUAACCGCCUCCCUCAAACCACAGAGUGUUAUUAAACUCGGGUCACAAGGAAAGAGAGCGAUGGCAGACACGUUCAGUGUCUUAAGCCCACUCAGCAGUGGAAGCAGCGUCAGCCCAUGCUGCAAAGACUUUUAACUCCUUGUUGCUAGGAAGAUGGCUUCAGGGUAAGGUGCAAACUCAUGGCUGCCUAGAGCAACUUGACUCCAAUACAAGGAAGAACCAUCCUGAGGAGGAAAAAAAUGAGAUGCUGGCAAGCAGAGAAGCAAAGACAAGCAGAGAUAAAUCAGGUUUCAACACAGGACCACACACGUCUCAGCACACUGCUGCCUUCGCCCAGCCCUGCCCACUCACUUCUUUCUCCUUAUUUCCCAACCAUGCCACAGAGAGUGAACUCCAGGCUUAAGGAACAGCUUAGGGGCAGGGCACACUACCAUCAAUGUAAGACUGGAUUCAGGUUCCACCCUUAGCUCUGGGGAAAACUUGGACAAACUCCAUGGCUGAGUAAAUUAAGCCAGUAAGGUCCAAGUGCAUGCUGUUGCCAUUGGCUUGAAGGGCAUCCAGCUUGUCCUGUGAAUUUGCUUUUCCAGAACUGUACAACCAAUGAGAGGCUCCUAAAAUUUAACCAGUUGGUUUGAGCUGUCUUUUGUUAAACUGCUUUUGUGUAUAUGAAACCAUUGACCGCUUUUUUUUUAAACAACCUGUUUAUUUUAUGUAUAUUAAGUGUUUGCUUGUAUUGUGUGUACCUUGUGCAUGUAAUGCUCCAGGAGGCCAGAAGAGGGCGUCGUAUUCCCUGGAACUGGAGUUGCAGAUGGUUGUGAGUCACCUUAUACGCGCCUGGAACUGAACCCAGGUCCACUGCAAGAGCAGUCAGAGCAUGUAACCACUGAGCCACCUCUCCAGCCCCACAUUGCUCAUUUCCCAUUGCUCUGUUCUAAAAAUGCUUCCGCUUAUUACAAAGAAAUGAAAAGAGACAGGAGCAUCCCUUCACAGCAGUACCUGCUACCUGGGAUAAUGUUGAUUUUUGUCUUACCACUGGUCCAGGGUGUGUCUGUGAGUGCUAAGAUAAUGUCUUCGUGAAUUUGUUCACGCAGGCUUUCAAACGGUCCUUGACGCAAGUGAUGUCUCCUUUCCAUACACACGACUAUUAAACUCCAUAGAACCUCGUUUCUUAAAGUGUGACCCGCAGGUCGGCAUCACCAGCAUCUUGGGACUGACGCCGGGACCCCAACCCCAGAACUGCUGGUUUCUAAGUCAAGUUUCAGAAGUGUUGCCGCAGGGAAUACAG